rnacentral:rRNA from 1 species
CACGCAGGCGGUCUGUCAAGUCGGAUGUGAAAUCCCCGGGCUCAACUUGGGAACUGCGUUUGGAACUGUCAGACUAGAGUGCGUCAGAGGGGGGUGGAAUUCCGCGUGUAGCAGUGAAAUGCGUAGAGAUGCGGAGGAACACCGAUGGCGAAGGCAGCCCCCUGGGAUGACACUGACGCUCAUGCACGAAAGCGUGGGGAGCAAACAGGAUUAGAUACCCUAGUA